rnacentral:rRNA from 1 species
AUGGCAGCAUUCCACAAAUUCCAUCAACUGGCUGGUCAGAACUUCACCGAGAUCAAUACUGCGCUCAUCGGCCUGUUGCCUAAAAAGAACGGAGCAAGUCAACUGGGUCACUACAGACCAAUCGGCCUCAUUCACUCUGUGGCAAAGCCCAUUUCCAAGGUCCUCUCCAUCAAGCUGGCUGGUGCUCUCAGAAACACCAUCUCCCCGGUGCAAUCUGGUUUUCAAAAGGGCAAAUGUAUUCAUGACAGCUAUCUAUACGUUCAAAGUUGCAUCAAGAUGUUGCACCAUCACAAGAAAAGCGCUCUGUUUUUCAAGCUGGAUAUCGCCAAAGCAUUCAAUUCCAUCUGCUGGGAAUACAUGCUCGAACUCAUGCAGCAGAUGGGUUUUCCAUCUAAAUGGAGGGAUUGGAUGGCGCCGAUGUUCAGCUCUGCCUCUCCUUCCUGCCUCCUCAAUGGCAUCAUGGGACCCUCCUUCAAGCACGGCAAGGGGCUGAGGCAAGGCGACUCCCUCUCCCAUCUGCUGUUCAUCAUGGCGAUCGACCCUCUCCACUGGCUGCUGGAAGCUGCCGGCGAUCGUGGCGUGCUGGCCCCCCUUCCGGGUCGCGGAAUGAAUUUGAGGAUAAGCCUUUAUCGGACGAUGCAGUCAUUUUCGCAAAUCCAAUCAAGGAAGAAGUGGACAACUUGCUUCAGCUGCUGA